rnacentral:rRNA from 1 species
AGAGUUUGAUCCUGGCUCAGGAUGAACGCUAGCUACAGGCUUAACACAUGCAAGUCGAGGGGCAGCAUGUUGGUUGCUUGCAACCAAUGAUGGCGACCGGCGCACGGGUGAGUAACGCGUAUCCAACCUACCCUUGUCCAUCGGAUAACCCGUCGAAAGGCGGCCUAACACGAUAUGCGGUUCUCAGCAGGCAUCUAACGAGAACGAAAUAUGAAGGAGAAGGAUGGGGAUGCGUCUGAUUAGCUUGUUGGCGGGGUAACGGCCACCAAGGCGACGAUCAGUAGGGGUUCUGGAGAGGAAGGUCCCCCACAUUGGAAACUGAGACACGGUCCAAACUCCUACGGGAGGCA